GAUGAACGCUGGCGGCGUGCCUAACACAUGCAAGUCGAACGGACUUACAUUGAAGCCUAGCGAUAUGUAAGUUAGUGGCGGACGGGUGAGUAACGCGUGGGUAACCUGCCUUGUACUGGGGGACAACAGUUGGAAACGACUGCUAAUACCGCAUAAGCGCACAGCUUCGCAUGAAGCAGUGUGAAAAACUCCGGUGGUACAAGAUGGACCCGCGUCUGAUUAGCUAGUUGGUGAGGUAACGGCCCACCAAGGCGACGAUCAGUAGCCGGCCUGAGAGGGUGAACGGCCACAUUGGGACUGAGACACGGCCCAAACUCCUACGGGAGGCAGCAGUGGGGAAUAUUGCACAAUGGGGGAAACCCUGAUGCAGCAACGCCGCGUGAGUGAAGAAGUAUUUCGGUAUGUAAAGCUCUAUCAGCAGGAAAGAAAAUGACGGUACCUGACUAAGAAGCCCCGGCUAACUACGUG
rnacentral:rRNA from 1 species